rnacentral:rRNA from 1 species
UGCCAGCCGCCGCGGUAAUACGGAGGUGGCGAGCGUUGUUCGGAUUUACUGGGCAUAAAGGGCGUGUAGGCGGUCGAGUAAGCGGAAUGUGAAAGCCCGGGGCUCAACCCCGGAACUGCGUUCCGAACUGCUUGACUGGAGGACAGGAGGGGGAUCGGGAACUCUAGGUGGAGCGGUGAAAUGCGUAGAUAUCAGGAGGAACACCGAUGGCGAAGGCAUCUCUCUGGGCCGAUGUUGACGCUGAGGCGCGAAGGCGUGGGUAGCGAACGGGAUUAGAUA